rnacentral:misc_RNA from 2 species
AGCAUUCGUCUUCUGGUUACGGGGCCAUAGCUCAGCUGGGAGAGCGCGUGCUUUGCAAGCAUGAGGUCGUCGGUUCGAUCCCGUCUGGCUCCACCAGAUGGUUUGAUCACCGAGAUCUUGUAUCGUCGUCCGCGAAACAUCACUUCGCAUUCACUAGUCUGGAUAGACAGUGAACUGCGUGUUUUCUGACAUCGUAAAGAGGAGAUCGAUCCGAGUUGGGUCGUGCAGCAUAUCGUUGCGCGGGCCUUCAUUAUCUCCGGAUCAUUUUCGGCGCUCGCGUCCGACCGCAAGGUUGGCUGCGAGUUGUAAAAUGAUCCUUUUAGCGAAGCUUGACCGCCUCGCUAUCGGAACGAUCUUACGAAGCAAGCUGGUCUUUCUAGUCAAUGUCCGGCUGCAGAUAGCGUUCAUCGAGGGCGCGUGCCGCAAGGCAGUUCUGCAGACAACAUUCUGCCGAGUGUGUGGACAUUGAUAAUGAGAGCAAUCAAGUGCCUUAAGGGUGUUCGGUGGAUGCCUUGGCGCUGAGAGGCGAUGAAGGACGUGCUACGCUGCGAUAAGCCGU